GAAAGGGCAAUAAACUGAAUUUUUUGUUUUGUUUUGUUUUUGGUACGGGGGCUGCAACCCAGGACCUCAAGCCUGAGGCCUCCACCUGAACCCAAAUGGAAAGGACCUGCAGUGGAGUCAGAGCAGGCCCCACCCCAGGGGAUACAGCCCUUUCCCUGUAUUUUUAAAGUUAAUUUUGCUUGUUUGGGGGAAUCACUAUUGUCAUAUGAUUUAACCACAUAAGUAAAUUAAAAUGUGGAAUCAUGCCUUUCUGUGUUUUUGUAAUAAUUCCCCCACUCCCCUUUUGGUGAUGCUGGACAUGAAACCCAGGGCCUCCCACAUGUUAAGCACAUGUUCUACCACUGAGUUACAUCCCAAGUCCAACUUUGGUAAUAUUUUGUGAGGACAAAUAGAAUGAAGAAAAAUAAUUUAGAUUUUUUUGGAGCUGUAGUUUACAAUCAAAACUCUAAUAAAGCAGUUAGCAAGAGUACUCCAUCCAGGGGUUGGGGUUGUGACUCGGUGGUAGAGUUCUUGGCUCACAUGUGUGAGGCACUGGGUUUGAUUCUCAGAAUCACAUAUUAAUAUAUGAAUAAGAUAAAGGUCCAUCAACAACUAAAAAAAAAAAAAAAAGGGUACUGUGUCCAGUUGGGCAUGGUGGCAUUUGCCUUUAAGCCCAGCAACUUGGGGAGGCUGAGAUGAGGAUCACAAGAUUGAAGGCCAGUCUCAGCAACUUAUCAAGACCCUGUCUCAAAAAAUAAAAAGGGAGGCUGGGGUUGUAGCUCAGUGGUAGAGCUCCUGCCUAGUAUGUGUGAUGUGUGAGGCACAGUGUUCAACCCUCAGCACCACAUUAAAAAACAAAUAAAUGAAAGUAUUGUGUUCAUCUACAACUAAAAAAAUAAAAUAAAAAAGAACUGGGAAUGUAAGUCAAGAGUAAAGUGCCCCUCGGUUUAAUCCCCAGUACCAAAAAACAAAAAACUUUAUGCAAGUUUAAAGUUCUUAAUGAAACAGGGGGACAGAAAGUUGAAGGUAAGUGCCAGCAACUUAAUGAGACCCUGUCUCAAAAUGAAAAUAGAAAGGACUGGGGGUGUAGCUCAAUAGUAGAGCUCCCAUCAGUUCAAUCCUCAGAACUGAGAAAAAAAAAAGUAAAUAAAAAUAAAAUUCUUAUUGAUACCAUAGGCACUGGUCAAGAUUUUGUUACCUGGAAUUAACUCCUUUGGAAAGAAAAUUAGGUUUAUUUACUUCUAAUUCCAUGUAAUCAAUUUAUAGCAUUUCACCUGAGUAAGGAAUGAUAGUUAUUUUUACUUCUAUUCCUUUGGGUUUAUUAUUAGGAAAAGCACCAAUUUAAACAUAGCACAUGUGUAUAGAGUAAUAAUAUCUGUCUCAUUCCACUGUCCUUCCCAUCCUCAUACCCCUCGUAUGACUCUGCCCCAUACUCAACCAGAGGAAGGAGGAGUUGUGUUCCAUUUGUGUACAAUAUGUCAAAAUGCAUUCUUCUGUCAUGUAGAACUAAUUAGAACAAAUUAAAAAAUAAAAUUAAAAUUAAAAAGAAAGAAAAUGACACUUGGGAACAAAUAACAAAUUGGUCUUCAGUGCUGCUGGAGCCCCCCAGUGAGACUAGCUGAAAUGUGUAGAUGAUGGCAUGGUAAAUGAAUUUCUUUGAGGUACUUCCAAAAAAAAAAAAAGGCACAAUGUUUUCAUGAGUUCUUUUUAUUCUCCCCACCCCCCAAUUCUUUCCCCCCAAGAUUCUGUUGUCUAUUAAGAUUUCUUUGUGAUUCCAUCUGCAUUUUAGGUGGAUUUUUCAAUUUCUGCCCCCCCAAAAGUCAUUUGGAUUAAAAAAGAUUUUUUUGUAGUUGUAGAUAGAUAGCAUACCUUUAUUUUCUUUAUUUAUUUUAUGUGGUGCUAAGGAUCAAAUCCAAUGCCUCACACAUGCUAGGCAAGUGCUGUGCCACUGAAUCACAACUCCAGCCCAUCAUUGGGAUUUUGAUAGAUACCACAUUAAAUCUGUACAUUGCUUUUGGUAAUACUGACAUUUUAAUGCUAUAAAGUCUUCCAGUCCACACACAGUGUUGUUUUUUUUUAAUUUGUUUUGUUUUGUUGAUGGACUUUAUUUUACUUAUUUUUAUACAAUGCUAAGGCUCGAACCCAGCAUGCUAGGCAAGUGCUGUACCACUGAGCCACAACCCCAGCCCCACACAGUGGUUUUAAUUUCCAUUUUCCUGGUGACUUACAAUGCUGAGCAUCUUUUCAUGUGCUUAUUGGCUAUUUGUGUAUCUUCCUGGGAGAACUGUCUAUUCAGAU
rnacentral:lncRNA from 1 species